AAAAGCUUUUUUUUUUCCCCCAUCCUCCUUUCUUCAUAUCACCAUGCUCUGUGACUGAAUCACCAUCAACGGCUUCAGGAUUUUUGCUUUCUUUCUUGCUGUUCCUUUAUUUUAUUCUCCCUUUUGGACAAGAACUUCUGGGAAGCUGGAAAACUGUUUGACGUAGGGGUUUCAGGAGGCCAGGACCUUUUUUAGUUCACAGAGGGGAGAGCACGGAGGUAAGAAGGAGGUAGCUGCAUACUUCCCUCCCGGUAUUUGAGCGUAUGCCUGUAGAAAUACUUAAUCAUGACACUUGCCUUGUGGCUGAUAGUAAGCUGUUUCCGUGUUGUCUGACUGUAAUGUAAUCCAAACAAUGCACUGGUCCCGAAUCCUCAAAUCCGGCAGUAUCUUAUGCAAGAUGGCCUUCCUCCCCUCCCAGCCUCCUACUGGACUUACGUAGCAGGCUUACCCUGGAACAUACAUUGAUGAUUCUCAGAGCAUGGAAGCUGACUACAGAGAAAGGUGAACAUACAAUUUGCAGGGAGCCCAAGUGUCUGCCUGAGGAGUUUUUGGCGCUCUGUUCCUUAGCUCUGGAUGGAUUUGAUGUCGUUUAUUUUGGACCGAAGCAGUGGGUUCCCCUGGAUGUCAGUGGAGAACAAGAGGUUCCAAACUUGCACACU